rnacentral:rRNA from 1 species
CAACCUUUGUCAUUAAUUGCCAUCAUUCAGUUGGGCACUUUAAUGAGACUGCCGGUGACAAACCGGAGGAAGGUGGGGAUGACGUCAAGUCCUCAUGGCCCUUAUGGGUAGGGCUUCACACGUCAUACAAUGGUCGGUACAGAGGGUCGCCAACCCGCGAGGGGGAGCCAAUCCCACAAAGCCGAUCGUAGUCCGGAUCGCAGUCUGCAACUCGACUGCGUGAAGUCGGAAUCGCUAGUAAUCGUGGAUCAGCAUGUCACGGUGAAUACGUUCCCGGGUCUUGUACACACCGCCCGUCACACCAUGGGAGUGGGUUCCACCAGAAGUAGGUAGUCUAACCGCAAGGGGGGCGCUUACCACGGUGGGAUUCAUGACUGGGGUGAAGUCGUAAACAAGGUAGCCGUA